rnacentral:rRNA from 1 species
UACAGAGGUCUCAACCGUUGUUCGGAUUCAUUGGGCGUAAAGGGUGCGUAGGCGGUCGCGCAAGUCGGAUGUGAAAUCCCAGGGCUCAACCCUGGAACUGCAUUCGAUACUGCGUGGCUCGGGUACUGGAGAGGAGACUGGAAUUUACGGUGUAGCAGUGAAAUGCGUAGAUAUCGUAAGGAAGACCAGUGGCGAAGGCGAGUCUCUGGACAGUUACCGACGCUGAGGCACGAAGGCCGGGGAGCAAACGGGG